ACUCGGCUGAUGAGUCCUAAACAGGACGAAAUGUGCUGCCUGAAU
rnacentral:hammerhead_ribozyme from 1 species